UGCCCCCUUCUCACUUUGCCAAUUGGACUAGUCUUAAUUGGUCGUUCAAGUGGGACAAAGACAGGUCUUUUAAAACUCAAGCAAACUGGAUAUUUGUCUUCUAUUCUGUCAGAGUAAACAACA